rnacentral:rRNA from 1 species
AAAUUGAAGAGUUUGAUCAUGGCUCAGAUUGAAUGCUGGCGGCAGGCCUAACACAUGCAAGUCGAACGGUAACAGGAAGCAGCUUGCUGCUUUGCUGACGAGUGGCGGACGGGUGAGUAAUGUCUGGGAAACUGCCUGAUGGAGGGGGAUAACUACUGGAAACGGUAGCUAAUACCGCAUAACGUCGCAAGACCAAAGAGGGGGACCUU